rfam:Salmo salar isolate Sally breed double haploid chromosome ssa06, whole genome shotgun sequence.
UCCCGUAUGGCUCAGUUGGUAGAGCAUAGUGCUUGCAACACCAGGGUUGUGGGUUUGAUUCCCACAGGGGAC